rnacentral:lncRNA from 1 species
GAAUUAUCUCCGGCCUCUGCAAGCGCUGUGCUCAGCCAAGCGUGAGGAGCUUUGGCUCCCGGUGCACAUACUUGCAGCAGGGACAUCGGCAUCUGGCUGAACCUGAAAGCUCAUCAUCCUCGCUGGAGGAAGGAGCUCUCCCCCAGGACCUGGGUUUCAGCUUGACAGGGAGAUGUUUCUGCCGCUGUGAUUAAUUUAGAAGUCAGAAAUGGAGAGAUCUCGCUGAUAAACGGGCUCGCUCCGGCUCUUCCGCCCCCUCUGCUGGCUGCUGGGUGUGCGAGGUGCGAGGCCGAAGGUCUGGAGGGGCUCGGUGGGAUCUCCGCUGGGCCAAGGGCUGGGGUUUGGCCAAGGGCUGGGGUUUGGUCAAGGGCUGGGAUUUGGCCCUGCUGCACGCCCCCAGCCCCUGCACCACCAGGGGGAGGCUGCUGGCAGGGCAUGGGGCUGGGACGAGGUGAGGGACAUCGGCUGAAAAUCCCUUCUUGCAUCCCUUGGGUCUCCCACCCGAUGUUCACGCAGGUCUUUUGGUGGCUUAUAGCACAACCGAACUCACUCUCUAUUUUUUUUUCCUUAUGGUGUAAAGUCUUUCAUGCUCGUUCCUGCAGAUUUGGUGGGAAUUCAGCCUCUCCGAGACCUCCACAGCUCUGCCAGGUUUGGCUGAUCAGGACCAUGGGUCUGACAGGAGCAAAACGAGGGAGAGGUGCCUCAACCAGGGGGAGGCUGGCAGCUGGGGGAGGAUGGAGCAGCAGCUACACCCUGCGAGAACGUCACUUGGCUGCUGCCAGAGCAAAAGCGAAGGGGUUCAGCCAUCUCGCCACCGAGACACUGCAAUUACUGAGCUACUGUAAAACAAGAUCUGCCAAGGAUAUUACAGCUGCUUUUCCCUCGUAAAGUCAAGGGUGAAGAAGCUGCGGGAACAUGGCUUGUGGCCAGGAGCCUGAUAAAGAUGCAAGGAAAAGCGACCAUUCCCAGGGGAAUUAACCUCCGUGGCCACUUGCUGCAGCUCUGCUUGUCUGAAUCAUAGAUGCUGCUGCAGCAUUCGUGCUGCACGACUGCAGAAGCUGCUCUUCCUCAUGGCCUGGAUCACUGGGAGGGGGUUAUUGCUUAUCUAAGAUGGUCUGUUCAAAGCAGAGCAGCAGUUGGUAUAUGGAAAAAAUUGCUGCUGCUGACUGGGGACCUUUGAUUAAGAUUUUAACACCUGCUAAGGAACCUGUCUUCAUGCCCAACAGGACAGAGCAGCCAGAGCUGGUGGGGAGCUUGCAGGAAGGAGAUGAGCUCUCCUGCCCUCCCCAAAGGCUGUUGUGUUUGUGCCUUUGUGUCUAACACUUCUUCGGGAUGGAGCACGGCGAUGAAGUGCUCUGUGCUCUCAGCCUUGGGAGGGGGCUUGGUAAAAGACAGGACAGGAUUUGGGGCCUGGCAGAGCUCCGCUGCUCUCCCAGGGUCCGUGUGUGGCCGGCAGGAAGCAGUGUAAUUGGCCAAGUAUGCACAAGACAAGUGCAGCACUUGGGGUGGCGAGCGACUUGAAGGGCAAAAUGUCCAAAAAAGCAGAGCUUUUGGACACUGAGCUCCAGCCUCUGCCAGUACAGCCUUGGCUGCUUCCAGGGCCACUUUACCCAAGCAGCGCUGGCUUUCUGCUUGGAGGGCAGAGAGAACAGGUUGUGAUAUAAAAUAUUUACUUAUUGCAAUUUAUUAUUUAUUGAGUCGAACCUAUUGCAACUCUCUAAGUGGAAGCAAAAGUAUCCCAUGUCUUAUCUUCUGCCAAAGACUUUCUUGCCAUGUCUGUGAUCCACUUGUAUUUAGAUCAAUCUUUGACUAUGCACUAAUGUUCAUUUCAAAUAAGAAUAAAUCAUGUUUUACAAGGCUUCA